UUCCACUGGGCAUGCUCUCUUGCAUCCCUUUCUCCCUCGUACCUCCUCCCUUCUUCACCCCUCCUUCUGUCACUCCCCCCUCUCUCUCUCCCUCUCUCUCUGUCUGAUAGCCAUUCCUUCCUGUUAUUGUCCUGCAUCCCCCGAACACCAAGGUGCUCUCUCCUUCCCCUCCCUCGUUCUCCAGGUCUCUCGCCCGUCCGCUGUGGAUUGGUUUGGUGUGUUUUGCAUGUGCCAGGAGGUUGAAGAGUAAGCUCCUACAGAGUGGAGCUCCCAAUGGCGCCAGCAUGGCUGAGGAUGACGCUGUGACUGCCAAAAGCCUGUCUGUGUUGGGUGGGAUGUACGGCACCGCUCCGUAGUCCACCACCUGCCCGGAGACCCAGUGAACCCCUCAGCAGGCGUCAGGGAGGAGGCGGUCACCAGGUGCGCUGUCAGAAUGAACCCAGCGGAUAUGCAGUGAACCACAUCCAGUGGGAGGAGCCUAAACAAAUACACACAUAUCUGCAGUGAGUCACACACACACUCACACACAUCCACGCGCACACUGAGUGAUGAGUGGUACAGACACCGGAGUUAGCCCCCUACUCUAGUCAGUGUUAUGGGAUCUUAGGUGACCAC
ensembl:lncRNA